GCUCAUUAAAUCAGUUAUGAUCUACGUGACAAAUUCUUUACUACUUGGAUAACCGUGGUAAUUCUAGAGCUAAUACAUGCAAAAAAGCCCUGACUUACGAAGGGGUGCACUUAUUAGAUAAAACCAACGCGGGGUAAAACCUGUUUCUUGGUGAAUCAUAAUAAUUAAGCGGAUCGCAUAGCCUUGUGCUGGCGACGGUCCACUCGAUUUUCUGCCCUAUCAUGGUUGAGAUUGUAAGAUAGAGGCUUACAAUGCCUACAACGGGUAACGGGGAAUUAGGGUUCGAUUCCGGAGAGGGAGCCUGAGAAACGGCUACCACAUCCAAGGAAGGCAGCAGGCGCGCAAAUUACCCAAUCCCGACACGGGGAGGUAGUGACAAUACAUAACAAUGCAGGGCCUUUAAGGUCUUGCAAUUGGAAUGAGUACAAUUUAAAUCCCUUAACGAGGAUCAAUUGGAGGGCAAGUCUGGUGCCAGCAGCCGCGGUAAUUCCAGCUCCAAUAGCGUAUAUUAAAGUUGUUGCAGUUAAAACGUCCGUAGUCAAACUUUAGUCUUACUGGCGUAGUGGCCUGGUCUUCAUUGACCAAGCUCAUUGCUGCCGGAGACUCCAUGUUCAUUAGGGGAAAAUCUCUAGGGGUUUUUUUCUUAUUUGAACAAUUACCAUGAGCAAAUCAGAGUGUUUAAAGCAGGCUUUUAAGCUUGAAUGUGUUAGCAUGGAAUAAUGAAAUAUGACUUUAGUCCUAUUUUCGUUGGUUUAGGUACUUCAGUAAUGAUGAAUAGAAACGGUUAGGGGCAUUUGUAUUUGGUCGCUAGAGGUGAAAUUCUUGGAUUGACCGAAGACAAACUACUGCGAAAGCAUUUGACCCGGGACGUUUUCAUUGAUCAAGGUCUAAAGUUAAGGGAUCGAAGACGAUUAGAUACCGUCGUAGUCUUAACCACAAACUAUGCCGACUAGAGAUUGGGCGUGUUUAUUAUGACUCGCUCAGCAUCUUAGCGAAAGUAAAGUUUUUGGGUUCUGGGGGGAGUAUGGGACGCAAGGCUGAAACU
rnacentral:rRNA from 1 species